GGGCGUAGUUCAAUGGUAGAACACCAGCCUUCCAAGCUGGUCACGAGGGUUCGAUUCCCUUCGCCC
rnacentral:tRNA from 1 species